GAUGAACGCUGGCGGCGUGCCUAAUACAUGCAAGUCGAGCGAACAGACGAGGAGCUUACUCCUCUGACGUUAGCGACGGACGGGUGAGUAACACGUGGAUAACCUACCUAUAAGACUGGGAUAACUUCGGGAAACCGGAGCUAAUACCGGAUAACAUGUUGAACCGCAUGGUUCAACAGUGAAAGACGGUCUUGCUGUCACUUAUAGAUGGAUCCGCGUCGCAUUAGCUAGUUGGUAAGGUAACGGCUUACCAAGGCAACGAUGCGUAGCCGACCUGAGAGGGUGAUCGGCCACACUGGAACUGAGACACGGUCCAGACUCCUACGGGAGGCAGCAGUAGGGAAUCUUCCGCAAUGGGCGAAAGCCUGACGGAGCAACGCCGCGUGAGUGAAGAAGGUCUUCGGAUCGUAAAACUCUGUUAUUAGGGAAGAACAAAUGUGUAAGUAUCUAUGCACGUCUUGACGGUACCUAAUCAGAAAGCCACGGCUAACUACGUG
rnacentral:rRNA from 1 species